rnacentral:rRNA from 1 species
GAUGAGCCAGAAUUGGCACCUUGUCUAUAAAUAAGGUGCAAAAUGAUUUUAACUGAAGAGUUUGAUCAUGGCUCAGAUUGAACGCUGGCGGCAGGCUUAACACAUGCAAGUCGAGCGGGGAAGGUAGCUUGCUACUGGACCUAGCGGCGGACGGGUGAGUAAUGCUUAGGAAUCUGCCUAUUAGUGGGGACAACAUCUCGAAAGGGAUGCUAAUACCGCAUACGUCCUACGGGAGAAAGCAGGGGAUCUUCGGACCUUGCGCUAAUAGAUGAGCCUAAGUCGGAUUAGCUAGUUGGUGGGGUAAAGGCCUACCAAGGCGACGAUCUGUAGCGGGUCUGAGAGGAUGAUCCGCCACACUGGGACUGAGACACGGCCCAGACUCCUACGGGAGGCAGCAGUGGGGAAUAUUGGACAAUGGGGGAACCCUGAUCCAGCCAUGCCGCGUGUGUGAAGAAGGCCUUAUGGUUGUAAAGCACUUUAAGCGAGGAGGAGGCUACUUUAGUUAAUACCUAGAGAUAGUGGACGUUACUCGCAGAAUAAGCACCGGCUAACUCUGUGCCAGCAGCCGCGGUAAUACAGAGGGUGCGAGCGUUAAUCGGAUUUACUGGGCGUAAAGCGUGCGUAGGCGGCUUAUUAAGUCGGAUGUGAAAUCCCCGAGCUUAACUUGGGAAUUGCAUUCGAUACUGGUGAGCUAGAGUAUGGGAGAGGAUGGUAGAAUUCCAGGUGUAGCGGUGAAAUGCGUAGAGAUCUGGAGGAAUACCGAUGGCGAAGGCAGCCAUCUGGCCUAAUACUGACGCUGAGGUACGAAAGCAUGGGGAGCAAACAGGAUUAGAUACCCUGGUAGUCCAUGCCGUAAACGAUGUCUACUAGCCGUUGGGGCCUUUGAGGCUUUUAGUGGCGCAGCUAACGCGAUAAGUAGACCGCCUGGGGAGUACGGUCGCAAGACUAAAACUCAAAUGAAUUGACGGGGGCCCGCACAAGCGGUGGAGCAUGUGGUUUAAUUCGAUGCAACGCGAAGAACCUUACCUGGCCUUGACAUACUAGAAACUUUCCAGAGAUGGAUUGGUGCCUUCGGGAAUCUAGAUACAGGUGCUGCAUGGCUGUCGUCAGCUCGUGUCGUGAGAUGUUGGGUUAAGUCCCGCAACGAGCGCAACCCUUUUCCUUACUUGCCAGCAUUUCGGAUGGGAACUUUAAGGAUACUGCCAGUGACAAACUGGAGGAAGGCGGGGACGACGUCAAGUCAUCAUGGCCCUUACGGCCAGGGCUACACACGUGCUACAAUGGUCGGUACAAAGGGUUGCUACACAGCGAUGUGAUGCUAAUCUCAAAAAGCCGAUCGUAGUCCGGAUUGGAGUCUGCAACUCGACUCCAUGAAGUCGGAAUCGCUAGUAAUCGCGGAUCAGAAUGCCGCGGUGAAUACGUUCCCGGGCCUUGUACACACCGCCCGUCACACCAUGGGAGUUUGUUGCACCAGAAGUAGCUAGCCUAACUGCAAAGAGGGCGGUUACCACGGUGUGGCCGAUGACUGGGGUGAAGUCGUAACAAGGUAGCCGUAGGGGAACCUGCGGCUGGAUCACCUCCUUAA